UAGGGAAUCUUCCGCAAUGGGCGAAAGCCUGACGGAGCAACGCCGCGUGAGUGAUGAAGGUCUUCGGAUCGUAAAACUCUGUUAUUAGGGAAGAACAAAUGUGUAAGUAACUAUGCACGUCUUGACGGUACCUAAUCAGAAAGCCACGGCUAACUACGUGCCAGCAGCCGCGGUAAUACGUAGGUGGCAAGCGUUAUCCGGAAUUAUUGGGCGCAAAGCGCGCGUAGGCGGUUUUUUAAGUCUGAUGUGAAAGCCCACGGCUCAACCGUGGAGGGUCAUUGGAAACUGGAAAACUUGAGUGCAGAAGAGGAAAGUGGAAUUCCAUGUGUAGCGGUGAAAUGCGCAGAGAUAUGGAGGAACACCAGUGGCGAAGGCGACUUUCUGGUCUGUAACUGACGCUGAUGUGCGAAAGCGUGGGGAUCAAACAGG
rnacentral:rRNA from 1 species